CAAAUUCUAGACUCUGCUACCUGUCAGUGUUGCUAUGCUUCGAGCCAAAUCCUGUCUGUUGUGUAUCCAGCCCCUGUUUCCUGCCCCUUGUCUGGUCGGCCCUCCUUCUGUGCACUGGAACCCUGCUCUUCUCAGCCCCCAUCAUCCCACUCCAGAGCUGCUGACCCGUCCACUAACUGCCCCAGCCUCAGUUCCUGGUUCUAAGCCAACACCCUGAGCUUCCCCAAGCCUACUCCCCAACCUCCCCGUACUUCACAAUAAAUAUUUUACUUUA